UACGAAGGGGGCUAGCGUUGCUCGGAAUUACUGGGCGUAAAGGGAGCGUAGGCGGAUAGUUUAGUCAGAUGUGAAAGCCCAGGGCUCAACCUUGGAAUUGCCUUUGAUACUGGCUAUCUUGAGUACGGGAGAGGUGUGUGGAACUCCGAGUGUAGAGGUGAAAUUCGUAGAUAUUGGGAGGAACACCAGUGGCGAAGGCGACACACUGGACCGUUACUGACGCUGAGGCUCGAAAGCGUGGGGAGCAAACAGG
rnacentral:rRNA from 1 species